rnacentral:lncRNA from 1 species
UUUAUUCAAAUCGUAGAACGAGACUUAGAGAGUAUUUUAAAAAAAUGUGAUGAAUAUGGCCUUAGAGAAAGAAAGGUUCCUAAACCUUGCCCGACUAGGUGGAAUUGUAUGUACUAAAGUUUAGUAGUUGCGUAUGAAUAUAGAAACCCAAUUAAUGCUACGUUUAAUUCUCGGGUAGGUGGUGAGGAUGAUGAUGAAAU